UAUUCCGAUAUUACUUUCCUGUUGUCAGUUACCAAUUCAACUUAAAUGUACGUGCAACUAACCAUGAUUUAACUAUAGUGGAAACACACAUUGCAGUGUUGAUAACUUAGAAUUGUUAGUUGAAAAUUUAGUCAAAUAUUAAAUUAUUUAACGGUUUUUAAAUAUCAACUUUCACGUGAAGUUGAAUUUUCAUCUUUAACUAAUCAUUAACAUUUUAGUGUAAUCGAGUGAAACAUUAGCUAAUAUCGCUUCAAAUAUAAGGAAAAUUAAAAAUAAAAAGGUAUUUAUUAUUUAACAUUUCUCUAUUUUUUUUUAUGAUAAUAAUUAUGAGGUAAUGAGGUCCCGGUCAACAUUGUCCAAAAUAUAACUAUGUUGCUCGUGAUCAGCUUAGAAGAGGUAGUUAAGAGAAAACUAUAAAUUAAAUUAGUGGGUUCCUUUUGUACGUGAAGAGACAGAAAGACAGAGAGAGAUAUAAAAGGUGAACCAAGUAGUUUGUACUGGUAUAUAAUUUAAGAAAAGUUCCAAGUAUUCCAAAAAUAUCAUUAUUUCAAUCAUUUUAUAUAUGAAAUUUUUUUUAGCCAAGAGUGAAAUUGAACGAAAAAUGAAGACUUUUACUUUAUUUAAAAAGAACAUAUGUUUAUUGGCAGAGAUAUAU